CGGAGAGUGCGAACGUUGUUCGGAUUCACUGGGCGUAAAGGGCACGUAGGCGGCUUGGCAAAUCGGUCGUGGAAUCCCGACGCUUACCGUCGGAACGGCGGCCGAAAAUACCGAGCUCGAGGGCGUGAGGGGGUCACUGGAACUCCUGGUGAAGCGGUGAAAUGCGUAGAUAUCAGGAGGAACGCCGGAGGCGAAAGCGAGUGACUGGCGCGUUCCUGACGCUGAGGUGCGAAAGCUAGGGGAGCAAACAGGAUUAGAUACCCUGGUAGUCCUAGCCGUAAACGAUGGACACUGAGUGGGGGAGGGCUUGCCUUUCCCUGCUGCAGCUAACGCGUUAAGUGUCCCGCCUGGGGAGUACGGCCGCAAGGUUA
rnacentral:rRNA from 1 species